AACCGGCGCCCGCUGCGGGAGGCCCGAAGUGGGGGCCUCCUGGAUAGCGGGAAUCAGUAUUGAAUCUUUGCUGGUUUAGAGGGCUGGUGGGCAGAAUAGGGCACCUCUUACUCUACUUCGCGCUUCACUGCCUAAACGCAGGCUUCUCACAUUAUACUAAUGAAACGACACGUUUUGUGAGUGAAAAAGCGCAUUUUUAUUCAUUGAAAUAACCUGUUAGGAGGAGACGGCGGCGGCAGAAGAAAGCUGGGGAUGUUAUCACGUUGCGGCCUCAGGACUGGAAGGUUUGCAUGCCGCUACCCAACAUGGCUCCCCCGGAAGCCAGAGAAUGGGAGUCCAGUACCUUCUACUCUGAUUGACUUGAGAGCUAGCAGAAAUCGACCAAUCCGGAGGAGGCUGCUAGCUAUCCCUUCUCGGCUGACCAAUAAAAGCCCAGAGUUGGGUGGAGCCUGGUCCACCCACCAGCUGCUCUUUGUUUUGACUGAGCAUUUGCUUCGACCACUGGAACAGAUGCUGGCUGGAUUCUGAGCAGAAGCCAGAGUUGGAAGCCCAUGAGGGGGCCCAGUUUGAUCCCUAGUCAAGGAACUAGAUCCCACAUGCUGCAACU